GUGAGUCAUCGAAUCUUUGAACGCACCUUGCGCUCUCUGGUAUUCCGGAGAGCAUGCCUGUUUGAGUGUCAUGAACUCUUCAACCUGCCGGUUCCUUGUUGAAUCGUGUCAGAGCUUGGAUUUUGAGUUGUUGCUGAACUUUGGUCAGCUCAUUCGUAAUAUAUUAGCAUCUCAAUUUUGUAAUCGGAUUGACUCAGCGUAAUAGACUAUUCGCUGAGGACACUGUAAAAAGUGGCCGAGAAUGAAGGCAGAAGCUUCAAACACUUUUAGUCAAUUUUCAAUUAGACCUCAAAUCAGGUAGGAUUACCCGCUGAACUUAAGCAUAUCAAUAAGGCGAGG
rnacentral:rRNA from 1 species